rnacentral:ncRNA from 1 species
CUAUCAGCCUAUCGCUAUGGUGCCUUCAGCCUCCUCUUGCCGGGAUGCUGCAAGGCUAAGAGGGAAACCGGUUAAAAGCCGGUGCUGCCCCCGCAACUGUGCGCUGUGAGGUUUUUUGGAAACAUGACGCCACUGAAUACCCCUUCGGGUGUUCGGGAAGGUAUCCAUCACACCGUUGACCAGCAAGCCAGGAGACCUGCCAUUGCAGAAAAGUCACG